CUGCUGCCUCCCGUAGGAGUAUGGACCGUUCUCAGUUCCAUUGUGGCCGUUCAACCUCUCAGUCCGGCUACGCAUCAUCGCCUUGGUAGGCCCUUACCCCGCCAACUAGCUAAUGCGCCACAGGCCCCUCCUUAAGCAGAUCUCUCUUUUAAAUAUAAAAGAUUCUUCCUCUAUAUCCUAUCCAGUUUUAUCCAUCGUUUCCAAUGGCUAUCCUCGUCUUAAGGGUAGGUUACCUAUGUAUUACUCACCCGUUCGCCACUAAAGUAACCCG
rnacentral:rRNA from 1 species